rnacentral:rRNA from 1 species
UACGGAGGGAGCUAGCGUUGUUCGGAAUUACUGGGCGUAAAGCGCACGUAGGCGGCCAUUCAAGUCAGAGGUGAAAGCCCGGGGCUCAACCCCGGAACUGCCUUUGAAACUAGAUGGCUUGAAUCUUGGAGGGGCGAGUGGAAUUCCGAGUGUAGAGGUGAAAUUCGUAGAUAUUCGGAAGAACACCAGUGGCGAAGGCGACUCGCUGGACAAGUAUUGACGCUGAGGUGCGAAAGCGUGGGGAGCAAACAGG